rnacentral:misc_RNA from 1 species
GGAAACGGAGAAAGACUACAAGCUGCAUAGAACAGGUCAACAGCCAGGUUCAUUUUUGUCAAUACUGUAAAUAAAACUUCAUGCUACAAUUUCCCAGUGGAUCUCAAUAUGAUUGACAAACUGCACUAGUAUUGGGUCAGCAAAUGUGAGGUUAGACAUGGGUGUUUCCUAGUUUAGCUGGUAAAAUCUCAUGUUAUCUAGUUUGAGGACUUGGGGAUUGAAUCCCUAAUGAGGGUUUUCGAGGGAAAGGACUACUUCCAUUGUAAUUGUCCAUCAAUUGGAUCACUAACAUUGAAAUUAUAAAGUGACAGUAUAGCCACAUGAUAUCAGAUGACGUAAAAUUGGCAGUAAAGAGGGAAG